rnacentral:rRNA from 1 species
AACGAACGCUGGCGGCAGGCCUAACACAUGCAAGUCGAGCGAGAUCUUCGGAUCUAGCGGCGGACGGGUGAGUAACGCGUGGGAACGUGCCCUUUGCUUCGGAAUAGCCCCGGGAAACUGGGAGUAAUACCGAAUGUGCCCUACGGGGGAAAGAUUUAUCGGCAAGGGAUCGGCCCGCGUUGGAUUAGGUAGUUGGUGGGGUAAUGGCCUACCAAGCCGACGAUCCAUAGCUGGUUCGGGAGGAUGAUCAGCCACACUGGGACUGAGACACGGCCCAGACUCCUACGGGAGGCAGCAGUGGGGAAUCUUAGACAAUGGGGGAAACCCUGAUCUAGCCAUGCCGCGUGAGCGAUGAAGGCCUUAGGGUUGUAAAGCUCUUUCAGCUGGGAAGAUAAUGACGGUACCAGCAGAAGAAGCCCCGGCUAACUCCGUGCCAGCAGCAGCCGCAGUAA